AUGGAGGGGAAACUGAGGUACCAAGCGAGUGGGGGGCACUGGGAUGGUCUCACCUGUUGGGUGAAGAGUGGGCGGCAGCUUUCACCCAUCUCUGCUUUUCCCCCAGUACAUCCUUUCAGGGUUCAUUUGUGUGGAAGCUGCCAAGAACCCCAAGAUUUCACUGGUGAAGGCCAUGCUGGCUACGAAUACCCUCAGUGCCAUAGUGGACGGAGUGAGCAUCGUCCUCUAUUCGCUCUCGCUUAUCUUCUACUACCCGCACGGAACCUGCCAGUGGAUCGAGGAGUCCAAGUCCUGCG
rnacentral:lncRNA from 1 species